CCUUUUCACUCUUCACACUCUGCUCUCCCUCUCUCCCUGCACUAGAUUCGUUUCUUCCGGCAUUAAUGAGAAACACCUGUUAGAGCUACUUGGCAGGCAUGCCUUGUUCAGGUCCCAUUAGACUUCUAGUCCCUCUCUUCCGUACAAUGUGGUGUCUUUGGUUCAGUUAUAAAAAAUAUGCACUUUUGAGGACAUCAUUUUGCAAUCUUCAGAAUACAAGAGCAGCGGACCUUGAGACAAUCCUGGCAGGCGGGUGCUGUGAUUGUGGCAGGAGAGGAAAGAGAGCAGGGAUAGGAGCCAUGCUGCUCCUAUCCCUGCUCCUGGCUAAUGUCCAGUCUAGAAAAAAUGGGACUUGGCUUGCCAAGCAACUGGAAAUUCGACAUCAACCAACCAUCAACAUCCCGGAUCAAGCACUCGGCAGGUGGAGCGUGUGCCAAGCUGACAGCACAAGACUUCAGCAAGAUGAGAGGAGGCUAGGAAGUUACUCUAUUCUAAUAUGCAUUUAACUAUCUGUUGUGUUCUGUGUGUAGCAUGAAGUUAUACAACCUUGUGCUGUAUAAUGAUAAAUAAAUUACCUUGAUCCUUGGUCUAGGCUACUGUACUUCUGUCAGUAUUGUGUCCCCAAGUGCAGCAGAGGGAAGGAGAGAAGUGGUUGAGGGGAAAAAAGAGUGUCAAGAGGUGUAAAGAGACAAACAAGCACUUAUUUUCACCUUUUUCUACUUUUGAUAGCCUCUGGAAGUGUAAGUCACACUGAAUGAUAUCAGUAUGUAUUUCAUGUCUUUCUGUUAAGAUUUGACUGUGUAAUAACUCAGAGAAAAGUAAGAUUUUUAACUCCCCUCAUGCAGUAUGUUUGCCUCUUGUCACCCCUCCCCUUAAACUCUAGAGGUUUUGGCUUUCUCCUGCAAAAUGUCCAUGUCUGUUACAGACCAUAUCCUGUAAUUACACACAUGAGUUAAAUUACAGAGGAGCACAGUGAAUCCCCACCUUCCACUGUAAUGUUAAUCUGUAAUGUUGUGUCCCCUCAACUGGCUUGAUAACGUUAGCCGCUAGUUUUCCUACUUUCAGAAAUCACUUGGUUUUGUUCAGAGUCGCAGGGUGUGUGAACCCCACAGCUCCACUGCGUUUGUAGUGCUGUGUGCGGUCACUGAGGCAAACAUUAGGCUAGCUGUUGAUGAUAAGUAAAUGCCUCCAAAAUGCUGAAUGGUUGCUUGUUAAACUAUAAAGUCACAUAUUCUGUUUCUAUGUGUAAAACACCGAAUAUUAGAUGUGAGUAGAUGAGUAACAAAAGUCAUGUAACGAGUAAUAAAGAAAAAAUUUAAUUACUUUA